rnacentral:rRNA from 1 species
GACGAACGCUGGCGGCGUGCUUAACACAUGCAAGUCGAACGCUGAAGCUUGGUGCUUGCACUGGGUGGAUGAGUGGCGAACGGGUGAGUAAUACGUGAGUAACCUGCCCUUGACUCUGGGAUAAGCCUGGGAAACUGUGUCUAAUACUGGAUACGACCUGUCACCGCAUGGUUGUUUGUGGAAAGGGUUUUACUGGUUUUGGUUGGGCUUACGGCCUAUCAGCUUGUUGGUGGGGUAAUGGCUAACCAAGGCGACGACGGGUAGCCGGCCUGAUAUGGUGGCCUGCGACCCUGGGACGGAGACACGACCCGGUCUCCUACGGGAGGCAGCAGUGGGGAAUAUUGCACAAUGGGCGGAAGCCUGAUGCAGCGACGCCGCGUGAGGGAUGACGGCCUUCGGGUUGAAUACCUCUUUCAGCACGGAAGAAGCGAAAGUGACGGUAGGUGCAGAAGAAGCGCCGGCUAACUACGUG